rnacentral:rRNA from 1 species
GACGAACCGAGCGAACGUUAUUCGGAAUCACUGGGCUUAAAGGGCGCGUAGGCGGGCCGUCAAGUCGAGGGUGAAAUCCCCCAGCUCAACUGGGGAAGUGCCUCCGAUACUGGCGGCCUCGAGGGGGAUAGGGGCAUGCGGAACUUCCGGUGGAGCGGUGAAAUGCGUAGAUAUCGGAAGGAACACCGGUGGCGAAAGCGGCGUGCUGGAUCACUUCUGACGCUGAGGCGCGAAAGCCAGGGGAGCGAACGGG